CUGGCACGAGGGAGACGGUAACCCAUUUCCUUUGGAAGGAUAAGAUACCCGGUUCGAUUCCGGGGUGCCAGAC
rnacentral:tRNA from 1 species